rnacentral:rRNA from 1 species
UACGGAGGGUGCAAGCGUUAUCCGGAUUCACUGGGUUUAAAGGGUGCGUAGGUGGGCAGGUAAGUCAGUGGUGAAAUCUCCGGGCUUAACCCGGAACUGCCGUUGAUACUAUCUGUCUUGAAUAUAGUGGAGGUGAGCGGAAUAUGUCAUGUAGCGGUGAAAUGGCUUAGAUAUGACAUAGAACAUCGAUUGCGAAGGCAGCUCGCUACGCUAUUAUUGACACUGAGGCACGAAAGCGUGGGGAUCAAACAGG